rnacentral:rRNA from 1 species
ACGAACGCUGGCGGCGUGCUUCACACAUGCAAGUCGAACGGAAAGGCCCUGCUUUUGUGGGGUGCUCGAGUGGCGAACGGGUGAGUAACACGUGAGUAACCUGCCCUUGACUUUGGGAUAACUUCAGGAAACUGGGGCUAAUACCGGAUAGGAGCUCCUGCUGCAUGGUGGGGGUUGGAAAGUUUCGGCGGUUGGGGGUGGACUCGCGGCUUAUCAGCUUGUUGGUGGGGUAGUGGCUUACCAAGGCUUUGACGGGUAGCCGGCCUGAGAGGGUGACCGGCCACAUUGGGACUGAGAUACGGCCCAGACUCCUACGGGAGGCAGCAGUGGGGAAUAUUGCACAAUGGGCGGAAGCCUGAUGCAGCAACGCCGCGUGCGGGAUGACGGCCUUCGGGUUGUAAACCGCUUUCGCCUGUGACGAAGCGUGAGUGACGGUAAUGGGUAAAGAAGCACCGGCUAACUACGUG